CACGCUGGAAAGCCAGACUCCAUUUCCUUUAGCAUUUGGAGAAGCACAAGAAGAAUCCAUCUUAAUCUGUGUCAAUGGUCAUCCAAGGACAAACCCACAUCCCACAAACAGAGCAUUGCUGAGGUUAUUGCUUUAUCCCAAAGGUCUCCAUGAAGUCUUUAGAAAAGAUUUACCUUGAUACCAUCAUAAGGAUACCAGGAAAGGCUUAAUAGCUGCCACACUAGCAAAAUCGAUGCUAGACUAAAUGAUACAAUGAGGAUCAUAAGUGGUUGCAUAAAAUCUACUCCUACUUGUACCACCAGCUCUACGAAGGCAGGAAGCCGAAG